GCCCAGAUGACCGGCAGUAGUCUGGGGUGCAGGCUUCAAACCUGUAGCUGUCUAGUGACAGAGGGCUUCAUUUCCACCUUUUGGGC
rnacentral:tRNA from 1 species